UACGUAGGGCGCAAGCGUUUAUCCGGAAUUAUUGGGCGUAAAGAGCUCGUAGGCGGUUUGUCGCGUCUGCCGUGAAAGUCCGGGGCUCAACUCCGGAUCUGCGGUGGGUACGGGCAGGCUAGAGUGCAGUAGGGGAGACUGGAAUUCCUGGUGUAGCGGUGAAAUGCGUAGAGAUCGGGAAGAACAUCGGUGGCGAAAGCGCUCUGCUGGACUGCAACUGACACUCAGGGACGAAAGCUAGGGGAGCGAAUGGG
rnacentral:rRNA from 1 species